ACCCGCUGAACUUAAGCAUAUCAUUAUGUGGAGGAAAAGAAACCAACAGGGAUUCCCUAAGUAAGGGCGACUGAACAGGGAAAAGCUCAAACUUAAAAUCGGCCUGGGCCAACACCCUCGUCCGAAUUGUAGUUUUGCGAAUGGAUUCUGGUGCGAUUACCGGCCUAAGUACUCUGGAACGAGACGCCAUAGAAGGUAACAGCCCUGUGAGGCCGGCGAUCAACCCUUAUGUUUCCAUUUCUAGGAGUCAGGCUAUUUGAGAGCAUAGCCUAAAGCGGGUGGUAAACUCCAUCCAAAGCUAAAUAUCAGUGGGAGACCGAUAGCGAACAAGUACCGCGAGGGAAAGGUGAAAAAGACUCUGAAAAGAGAGUUAAAAGUAUUUGAAACCGUCGACAGUGAAGCGGAUGUGCCCUCCACUCUGUGGCGUAUGAAUCAGCAAGUUGCUUGUUCUCAGGAUGCCCGAUAGCCUUUAAUUGGGCAGUCGGGUAUUCUGGUCAAGGGUAAGCGACUUGUGCACUUCAUGCGUCUUAAGAUGCAACUGGUUUGUGUGAUCGACUAAGGCGGUGUGGCAGGUAACCGGCUCG
rnacentral:rRNA from 1 species